rnacentral:tRNA from 1 species
CUUACCUUAGUUUAAAAAGAAUAAUGGUUUUGGGGAUCAUUGGUCUCCUUUGUGAGAGGUUUGA